UACGGGGGGGGCAAGCGUUGUUCGGAAUUACUGGGCGUAAAGGGCUCGUAGGCGGCCAACUAAGUCAGACGUGAAAUCCCCAGGCUCAACCUGGGAACUGCGUCUGAUACUGGUUGGCUUGAAUCCGGGAGAGGGAUGCAGAAUUCCAGGUGUAGCGGUGAAAUGCGUAGAUAUCUGGAGGAAUACCGGUGGCGAAGGCGGCAUCCUGGGCCGGCAUUGACGCUGAGGAGCGAAAGCCAGGGGAGCAAAUGGG
rnacentral:rRNA from 1 species